rnacentral:piRNA from 1 species
UGCUCAGUAUUGAGGAAGUGACAUUUU